AUAAAGAAACACAAGUCUUACCAGUUUCCUAUUAAAGGAAAGGAGUCUCUAGUUUUUCAUGUUGGAUUCAGGCAAUUUGCUGCUAGGCCAAUAUUUUCUGUAGAUAGCAUAAACUCGAAUCAGCACAAAAUGGAGAAAUUUUUGCAUGAAGGACGGUUUGCGAUUGCUUCUGUAUAUGCCCCAAUUUCUUUUCCUCCUUCACCCUUGAUAGCCUUAAAGAUGGGGAAUGGAGAAGUUGGCUACCCUGCUGUUGCUGCUAGCGGGUCACUAAAGAGUAUUGACCCAGAGAAGAUUAUACUCAAGAAAAUUGUAUUGACUGGUUAACCGCGAAGGGUGUCUAAGCUAAAAGCUACGGUCCGCUAUAUGUUUCAUGAUCCCAGAGAUGUAUCACAUUUUAAGCCCGUUGAAAUCUGGACAAAGAAAGGUGUUCGCGGUAACAUUAAAGAAUCUGUCGGUACACAUGGAACGAUGAAGUGUACUUUCAAUCAUAGUGUUCAACAACACGACACCGUCUGUAUGAGUUUAUUCAAACGUGUAUGCCCCAAGUGGCCUGAGCAUAGAUU